rnacentral:lncRNA from 1 species
AAAUUUCAAAUACAAAAGGGGAAAUAACUCUCAUAUGGAGUCUCUAUACGGCUUCGGUCAAAAUAAAACAGAACAUCCUGAGGAUGUAACGAGCAAUUUGGUAAAAUAAAUUUGUCGUAAUCUUUUAUGGUUGCGAAGGAGUAGUGGCCACAAGAAAAACAGUGUUUGGGGAGAUAACUCUUACAACGUAAAGUAUUUGGUUACGCAGUGGUCAGUUUUAAAAGUGCAUACGCUUUACGAUAUCAUAUUCCAAAUAUAUCUAAGCGACAUCUUUUGAAACAUCAAUACUACGCAAGAAAAAAAUUAGGCGGAAGAAAAAAAAAAAAAUAAUAAUAAUUAAAAACCAAUUGUUCAAAGAACAAUUGAAGGUCUUUCAACCAAUAAGGAUCUAUUUUGAUAUGAAAAUAUUAAAAUUCAGUUGAAAAUGUCAGUUCCUAUGGCUUAAUGAUGUAUAAAAAUGAAUUUCGAAGCAAAGGUCAAAAUCUAGAACGUCCAAUUUAACCUAUGACCUUGACCUCAAUUUCAAGGUCAUAAACAUAGGAUCCCAAAUCAAAAAGACCCUAGGUUCUGUAAUAUGUAUGGUUCAUGAGUAAUAAUCACUUUACGCAUAAUUCUUAAAUAUAAGAGGGGCGAAAACUCCCAUUUUAUUGUCUUACGCACCCUUGUAACCAAAAUUUAUAAGUUACGACAUGUCGCAACUAACAAUUUAGUAAAAAUAAUUUGUCGAAAUCUUAUAAGGUUAAUGAAAAUAAGUGAAAAUAAGCCAAAAUCAAAAUUUAAAAUUUGACCUUGACCUUUGACCUUGACCUAAUUUUCAUUUUUUUGGACCAAGGAUCUUAAAUCAAAAGACCCUAGGUCUCUAUCACUUAUGGUUUACCAGUUAGAAAUGCAUAUCACUUAUAUCAUAUAUAAAAGGGGGGAUAACUCUCAUAUGGAGUCUCCGGAUAGCUUCGGUCAAAAUGAAACAGAACAUCCUGAGGAUAUAACGAGCAAUUUGGAAAAAUAAAUUUGUCGGUUUCUUAUACGGUUGCGAAGCCUUAGAGGCCACAAGAAAAACAGUGUUCGGGGAGAUAACUCUUACAAGGUAAAGUUUUUUGUUACGCGGUGUCAGUUUCAGAAGCGCAUUAACUGUUCGAUAUCAUAUACCAAAUAUCUAAGCGACAUCUUGUGAAACAAAAAAACAGCGAAGGAAAAAAAAGUUGGCGGAAGAAAAAAAAUAAAAAUAAUAAUAAUAAUUAAAAACCAAUUGUUCAAAGAACAAUUGAAGGUCUUUCAACCAAUAAGGAUCUAUUUAGAUAUGAAAAUAUUAAAAUUCAGUUGAAAAUGUCAGUUCCUAUGGCUUUAAUGAUGUAUAAAUAUGAAUUUUAAGCAAAGGUCAAAAUCUAGAACGUCCAAUUAACCUAUGACCUUGACCUCAAUUUCAAGGUCAUAGACUAAACAUCUCAAAUAAAAAGACACUAGUUCCUUAAUAUGUAUGGUUCAUGAGUAAAAUCACUUUACGCAUAAUUCUUAAUAUAAGAGGGGCGAAAAACUCCCUUUUAUUGUUUACGCACCCUCGCAACCAAAAUUUAUAAGUUACGACAUGUCGCAACUAACAAUUUAGUAAAAAAAAAAUUGUCGAUAUCUUAUAAGGUUAAUGAAAAAAGGUGAAAAUAAGCCAAAAUCAAAAUUUAAGAAUUUGACCUUGACCUUUGACCUUGACCUAAUUUUCAUUUUUUUGGACCAAGGAUCUUAAAUCAAAAGACCCUAGGUCUCUAUCACUUAUAGUUUACCAGUUAGAAAUGCAUAUCACUGAUAUCAUAUAUAAAAGGGGGGAUAACUCUCAUAUGGAGUCUCCGGAUAGCUUCGGUUGAAAUGAAACAGAACAUCCUAAGGAUAUAACGAGCAAUUUGGAAAAAUAAAUUUGUCGGUUUCUUAUACGGUUGCGAAGGAGUAGUGGCCACAAGAAAAACAGUGUUUGGGGAGAUAACUCUUACAAGGUAAAGUUUUUUGUUACGCGGUGUCAGUUUCAGAAGCGCAUUAACUGUUCGAUAUCAUAUACCUUAAUAUCUAAGCGACAUCUUGUGAAACAAAAAAACAGCGAAGGAAAAAAAAGUUGGCGGAAGAAAAAAAAAAAAAAAAAAUAAAUAAAAAAA